rnacentral:rRNA from 1 species
UCGAACGCGUCUCCGUUAAUGAUUUUAGGUGCUUGCACUUGAAAGAUUCAAUAUUGAGACGAGUGGCGAACUGGUGAGUAACACGUGGGUAACCUGCCCUUGAAGUAGGGGAUAACACUUGGAAACAGGUGCUAAUACCGUAUAACAACCAAAACCACCUGGUUUUGGUUUAAAAGACGGCUUCGGCUGUCACUUUAGGAUGGACCCGCGGCGUAUUAGCUUGUUGGUAAGGUAACGGCCUACCAAGGCGAUGAUACGUAGCCGACCUGAGAGGGUAAUCGGCCACAUUGGGACUGAGACACGGCCCAAACUCCUACGGGAGGCAGCAGUAGGGAAUCUUCCACAAUGGACGAAAGUCUGAUGGAGCAACGCCGCGUGAGUGAUGAAGGGUUUCGGCUCGUAAAACUCUGUUGUUGGAGAAGAACAGGUGUCAGAGUAACUGUUGACAUCUUGACGGUAUCCAACCAGAAAGCCACGGCUAACUACGUGCCAGCAGCCGCGGUAAUACGUAGGUGGCAAGCGUUGUCCGGAUUUAUUGGGCGUAAAGCGAGCGCAGGCGGUUUUUUAGGUCUGAUGUGAAAGCCUUCGGCUUAACCGGAGAAGUGCAUCGGAAACCGGGAGACUUGAGUGCAGAAGAGGACAGUGGAACUCCAUGUGUAGCGGUGAAAUGCGUAGAUAUAUGGAAGAACACCAGUGGCGAAGGCGGCUGUCUGGUCUGUAACUGACGCUGAGGCUCGAAAGCAUGGGUAGCGAACAGGAUUAGAUACCCUGGUAGUCCAUGCCGUAAACGAUGAGUGCUAAGUGUUGGAGGGUUUCCGCCCUUCAGUGCUGCAGCUAACGCAUUA